UUGAACGCUGGCGGCAGGCCUAACACCUGCAAGUCGAACGGUAACAGGAAGCAGCUUGCUGCUUCGCUGACGAGUGGCGGACGGGUGAGUAAUGUCUGGGAAACUGCCUGAUGGAGGGGGAUAACUACUGGAAACGGUAGCUAAUACCGCAUAACGUCGCAAGACCAAAGAGGGGGACCUUAGGGCCUCUUGCCAUCGGAUGUGCCCAGAUGGGAUUAGCUAGUAGGUGGGGUAACGGCUCACCUAGGCGACGAUCCCUAGCUGGUCUGAGAGGAUGACCAGCCACACUGGAACUGAGACACGGUCCAGACUCCUACGGGAGGCAGCAGUGGGGAAUAUUGCACAAUGGGCGCAAGCCUGAUGCAGCCAUGCCGCGUGUAUGAAGAAGGCCUUCGGGUUGUAAAGUACUUUCAGCGGGGAGGAAGGGAGUAAAGUUAAUACCUUUGCUCAUUGACGUUACCCGCAGAAGAAGCACCGGCUAACUCCGUG
rnacentral:rRNA from 1 species